AUGUCUUAAGAAGCAGCCUCUAGUCCAAGUCUCAGAGAUGAAGUCAGCUAUACUCCUGAUAUGGACAUUGCUAUUCUGGGUUCCAGGUUCUACUUGGAACAUUGUGCUGACCCAGUCUCCAGCUUCCUUGGCUGUGAUUCUGGGACAAAAGGCCACCAUCUCCUGCACGGCCAGUGAGAGUGUCAAUAAAUUUGGCAUAAAUCUUAUGCAUUGGUAUCAACAGAAACCAGGACAGCUUCCCAAAAUCCUGAUCUAUAAUGAAUUCAGUCGAGCACCUGGGAUCCCUGCCAGGUUCAGUGGUGAUGAGGCUGAAUUAAACUUCACCCUCACCAUUGAGCCUGUGGAAGCUGAUGAUGUUGCAACUUAUUACUGUCAGCAAGGACUAACAUUUCCUCUCACAGCCCUCUAUGCCUAAGCAAAAACCUCCCAGGUUUGCUACACACUGAGGCUCAAUUUCUCAGUUGUCUUUCCCCUGAGACUUCUCAACUAGGACUCUGUAGAUGGCUUGUUUGAAAAAGGAAAUGAAUGCAAAACAGAAAAUU